CCCUCUCAUCCGGGUGGUGAGCCCUCCAGCAGUCCAGGAGCUGCGAGCGUCUGAGGAGGGCCCUGAUCUGUGUCAAGUGUUGUGGCGGGACUUGUGAUGUUCUGGAGGACAAGUCCCAUUUUGGGUCCAUGGCCAGGUUAAAGUCCCCCCCAGGAUCAAAAUGCCCUCUGUGAAGGACAGUAGCUCUCGUAAAGUACGGGUUAGGAACCUAUAGUGCCUCUGGUUGGGGGCGUAUAUAUUAGCAAAAGUAUAGGUUGACCCCGCUAUCGUACCCUUCAAGAACAGUAACCUCCCCUCUGGGUCAGUUAAUGUUGCCUCUUCCCGAAACGGGAACCGUUUGUGCAAAAGGAUAGCCACCCCUCUCGACCUGCCCGUGCUAUGGUUGCUAAAGUAUCCGGUAGUGUAGCGGUGGUCUGUCAUUUUGGGCCUAGAUCCUGCUCAGAAGUGUGUUUCCUGAAUAUAUACAAUAGACGCUUUAAC